UUCGUUACUGUUUAAGUGCAUAUCUUAUUUGUUUGCCCACAUUUAAAUGGUAUAAGACUACUUUCAUUUUCAUUGAUAUCUGCUGUUUAUCCAAGCACAUUUAUGCUUGCCUUCUUAAGAUAAAGAGCUAGAGAGAAAAAGGAGUAUAGAAGAAAAACAAAUUAAUGGAUAUCAACAAUUAACCAGCAGGAAACAAAAACCACCACUAUUGCACAAACAUGGUUCAUCUUAGUGUACAACGCCAACUCAUCAUCUCGACUUGCCUAUGCAAUGCAACGUGAAACAAAAGACACACAUGCAUCUCGCAGCAUCAAUCAAUCCACGUACGUACACCCUCUCCGAUCCGAAAGACAAUGAAGUUGCAUAGCAUAGCCGUUGAGCUUAGUUGCCGGGGACGAAGUUGGUGGCGUAGGCCCAUGCGUUGUUGUUGACUGGGUCAGCGAUGUGGUCAGCGAGGUUCUCGAGCGGGCCCUUGCCGGUGACGAUGGCCUGGACGAAGAAGCCGAACAUGGAAAACAUGGCGAGGCGGCCGUUCUUGAGCUCCUUCACCUUGAGCUCGGCGAAGGCCUCGGGGUCGUCGGCCAGGCCGAGGGGGUCGAAGCUGCCGCCAGGGUACAGCGGGUCGACGACCUCGCCGAGCGGCCCGCCGGCAAUGCGGUAGCCCUCGACGGCACCCAUGAGCACGACCUGGCAGGCCCAGAUGGCGAGGAUGCUCUGCGCGUGGAUCAGGCUGGGGUUGCCGAGGUAGUCCAGCCCGCCCUCGCUGAAGAUCUGGGAGCCGGCCUUGAACCAGACGGCCUCGCCGAACUUGACGCCGUUGCGGGAGAGCAGCUCGGGGAAGACGCAGCCGAGCGCGCCGAGCAUGGCCCAGCGGGAGUGGAUCACCUCCAGCUCGCGGUUCUUGGCGAAUGUCUCGGGGUCGGCGGACAGCCCGGCGGUGUCCCAGCCGUAGUCGCCGGGGAACUCGCCGGUGAGGUAGCUCGGGGGCUCGCCGGAGAAGGGGCCGAGGUACUUGACGCGGUCGGGGCCGUACCAGGGGCUGCCGGACGCCGCCACCUUGGGCUUGCCCACGGUCUUGCGCAUGGUGAUGCGGCCCUCGCCGAAGGAACCCACCUUGAUGGGGGUGCCGGCCAUCGCCGUGGAGGAGAUCGCCAUGGUGGAGGCAGCCAUUGCUGAAGCUGAGCGUGAAAGUGUUGGACCGGUUGCUAUAGAUGCCGCUGGUGGAGUGUACCGUGGGGGGCGCACCUGGCUAAAUAGCGUCGCCGGCGAUCGGGUCCUUAUCUCGUGGAAUCUUAAGACGAGUUGCCAUUGGCUCGCCGGAGGUGAGGUGGGCGGAUGGGGUGGCUGAUGUGGCCGCGCGCUGGCCACCAGGUCUCCGCCAGUCGCCAGAUAUUCUCACCGCGCCGGGCUUUUGUUUUUGCCGUGCCCGGUGCCCCUCGCGGUGAAUUUUGCGGCGUCGCUAGGUGUUGGGCUCGCUGGCGUCCUAUUGGCCGGUUGAUCUGAUACUGGCAGAUAUUUCGGUUGGUGUGAGUGUGACGUGGCCUCCCCUCCUUCGGAUUGUUCUAGAUCAAUUGAUCCAUUUGUGGUUGUGGUUUGCCUUGACUAGUGGUAGUGGGUUCAUCAGUUCAUGACGCUCGGCUUAGGUGGGCUAGGCUCAAAAGCUCAACUCAGAAUAGUUUUGGGCUAGGCCUUGUUCUGUAAGGGGUCGGUUCGUGGGCAACGAGGACUCCAAACGGGCUGCGUGCACGGACAUCUCACCCUUGUCGCGGCGUCGUGCACCCGAGUAGGCCGGUUGUGUCGAUCUGUGGAGAGGAGACACGUCACGUUACGAUCCCCAACUUAACGCCGAUCGGAGGCCGGAGAGACCGGCUCAGCCUCGCUCCGCCGCCGCCGGCGACCAUGUCCCUGGCGGCUAUCUUCGUCUUCCUCAUCGUGUCCGCGCUGCAGCUGCUCUACCGCUACCUCGACCUCGCCAGAAAGGUCAGCGCCGCCCCCCUCCCCAUCGCGCGUUGCGCCUCCCAUCCGUCUCCUAGUCUCGAGACCUGGAUCUUCCGUGAAUUCUGAUUGGGCGGAAGAGUAGCCUACCAUCAGUUCCAUCUAUUUCGUCCAUGAAUUGAACUCUGAUUCCGAGGAACUAUUUCCCAUGGCCCUAGACAGUUUGGAUUUUGAUGCAAAUUUCUCAACCUUUGGCCGAGGCGACUGUAACUGUUGAAUGCAGGCUCGAGUCUUUGUCUUCCCGGUCUCCCUAUCUGUUAGCCUGUAGUCUGCGGUUUUGUAUUUAUUUCGCUCUAGUGUUUCCACUUGCCACUCAUGCGUUCUGUGCUUUUGUCAUCCAGAGCGGAGGACUUAGUGAUGAGCAGAUCAAAGUGCGGCUUGAAAUCAAGCAACUUCUCAAGGAGGCUGAUCAGUUGUCAACGUAGGCAAUUAACCUUCCUUUCGCUGUGACUCAGAGUUUCCCUAUUGAUCGAAGAAUGAUUUCCAACUGCAAAUUACUCCUCGCUUCUUUGCCUGUAUGUCUGCUGUAGGCCGUCCACAUUUGCACAAGCUGCUAAACUCAAGCGCCUGGCUGCUGCCAAGGAGAAGGAACUGGCAAAAAGUGAGUGCUGAACUCUCAUUGUCUUGUUCUGUAGCUAUUCGUCUAAUCGUCUUGGCCUCAUCGCUUGUAAGUUGUAAUACAGUACCGGAAGGCCCUGUAUUUUUGGAAAUGCUAGGUAGUUGCAUUCCGUAGCAUUGCUGUUGUUUGUUCGGGAGCAAAAUUUAGCUUCUUUGUUAUUUGUGCAAAAUGAGGUGAUGCUCCCAUGAUGCAUUUUAACCUUCAUAACUUUUUUUUCCUUUGCCUGCUUUACAGUGCAGGAACAUGACCUUAAAGGGAAGCAAUCCUUAUACGACAAAUACACAAAAUUUUUGUUGGUUACUAAGGUGCUCCUAUGUGAACUACCUUCUAUGUCUGGUUUUCUUGUUUUGCCAUGUGCUAUACCUUAUUAAUACUAAUCUUGUUCAUCAAAUAGGUCAUAAUUUAUGCUGUGCUCGUUCUGUGCUUUUGGAGUACUCCUGUAACUGCAGUUCCACAACAUCUUCUACAGCCCUUCGGUAUGUUGAUGCCACUCGCCAGAGUGUUCUAGAUUGAUUGUUACUCGGUAUUAGCCCCUUGGGUGAUGCACGAGUGACUAGUCUAUUUAUUUAUCAGCAGAAUAUAUCCAACAUAUUAAUAGUCUGGUUGACUUUUGCACAAUUUGAAUCUGAGAACUGCGAGAGGAAAUUUUCACACACCUAGCAACACUGACCCAAUAUGUGGAGUGACUUACUUCCCACAUUCAUUUCACAACUACUGCCAGAAUAUAAAUGAAUAUGAUUUUAUACAUAUGACAUACAAGUACUACGGUAGAAAGGCUGUGAAUUGUUGUCCGAAAAAAAGGUAACUCGUUUGUGCAAUCCAAGCGAUUAUCUAAAGGGUCAAUGCUGCAUCACUAGAUCUUUAGAUCCAUUUUCAGAUCAGCAAUAUAACUAUUUGCCUUUUGGGUUGUCGAGUAGCAACAUUCUUCGUAGAUGGACAUCCUUAUGUAUACUGUCAGGAAACAAUUCAUUUUCUUUGAUUUCUCUUAGUUUCUUACAUAUGUGUGGUUCAUGUAACCAAUAAUAAUAAUGGUGACACUUCAAAUGUUUUUACAGGAAAAAUGUUUUCCUGGAGAGGUGUUGAUACUGCCACCGGCAAUGUUGUGGUAAAUACUGAUUACUGUGGACCUUUUAAACUUUAUGGGACACUGCAAUUAAGAUAGCUUUAUUCGAUUCAUUGGUGAAAUGCUGACAUGAAUCGAAAUAACAGCAUUACGUCUGUGGAGUUAGCUUAGCUUACUUGUAUGUAUGAAAGUGGAUGGAUGAUGAUCAGAGAAACCCACUUGCUCCAAAUUUCCCUAGUAGCCCUUGAACAUGGUGUGCCCUCAGGGGCGGAUCUGGGCCCAGGGCUGGGGGCUGCAGCUCAGGCUCAGGUCCAGCCCCGAAUACCUCCAUGUAGUAUACCCCCUCAACAUCCCAUGGGAGAUGCAGCUAAGAAGGCACAGCCCCACCCGUUGAACACUAAAACAUAGCACUUCAGUCUGAGAUGCUGCACGCAAAUCUCCUGCUGUGAAUUCGUUUUUUUCGUCUUCUUCUUCGUUGGCGGCACUCUUCCAGCCCCGGACCCCAGAGGCCCAGACCUUAGAAUUCUCUCGGAAUCCCCAACCCUUCCUCGGGCUGACCCGCUGCCUGCCCUGGCUCGUGAGUCAUGACCCUUCCGGUAGCGUUUGUCUGCUUGCCACAGCAUCCACCACGUCAGGACCCAAGACGCCAACUCCAGUUGUCUGUGCCCCUCUCGGCCUCUCCCCUGCUGUGUUACAAUGCUGCUAGCAGCACAGGUAUUGGAAGAAAAAAUACAAAAUUGAACCUAACCCAUUGUGAUUGUUGAUUAUUAUUUUUUAUAAUAAUUGGUUCUAGUUGGAUUGUGGUCGGAGUGAGAAAGAUCAAAGACGUGUCCAAAAAUAGAGGGAAAAGGGCCAUGGAUUGAUGUAUGACAUUCUUUGUUACGAUUUUUGUACCCACAAAGUUGCUUUAGAUGUUGUUUCACCAUUUUUGAAUCGAUAUUAUUGUCUGUGAUCCUUAUUCAUAAAUUAUGUAUCAUUUUUUUAGUUUACCUUUAACAAUAUCUGUAAAGUCGAUGCGCCACUGAUGUGCCUUGUAUGCAAUGCUACUAGGUGGAAAUCUGCACCUUGUUUUUUUUUCCCCGCAGUCCCUGACGUGGUGGUUGCCCUGGUGCAGGUUGGAAUACUCCCGUGGCUGUUUUUGACCUCUCGGGUCAGCAAGAUGCUGUGCCAGAAACUGGGCUUCGUGCUUGUGCGUCCGUAGCGCCUUUCCAUGAGAAAGUCAGCAAGUUGCUGCACCUAAACAAGACUGCUAACUUUGUUCUUCUUCUAUAUCUUUUUAUAAUCAACUGUUUCACUUAUUGUCCACUAUAUACUCUGUCCGUUCUUUUUUAAUUGUCGUGUUUUAGUUUAAAAAUUAGCGGGCGAUAAAUAUUCGAGAACGGACUUGUAGUCAUAUAAAUUUGCUGUGCUAUGUGCUCAAGCGGAUACGUGUAUAAGUUACUAGUAGCCGUGAAUGAUGUGUAGUUUUUCCCCCUUUCCCUACCGCGGGCAUCCCUGUGGUGUUGCUAACCUGUCAAACUGCAUCCACGAGGGGUCUGAAAUUGUGCCCUUUUCCAGCGAAGCAGUGGUGCUCUUGGCAGGCCGGGGGCAUCUUUCAAUUCGAGAAAGAGGAAACCGUUGGACCAUCACGUCCGUCAGUCCAUGCCCGUGCAGCCGUGCUCCCAUGCCCCUGCUCCAGCCAAUUAGAGCUUCGGGACAAUCUCCUUUGGGCAUGUGCGUCAGCAAUGGCGGGUUAACAGUGAAAGUACCAGCAGAACACCAGGUUCUCGGUCUCUCCGAGAAAACAAUGGCACGAAGCUCGAGGCACUACGGUUUUCUCUCUCUCUUCGCCCUUGCGUGAAGAAGACCACAUGGAGAUGGAGGAGAUUCUUUUGCCCUCCGCCUCUCACUUCCUUCCGCACUAUCAUCUUCUAGAAAACCAGGCUAGGCUGGCUUCACCAAAAGCCGUUAAAGGUCUCACCUAAAAUUUUAAGGAGAUCUUAUAUACGAAUGAAAAUGGUUUAGAUAAUCUUGGACUAACUAAAAUCGAAUUUUAAUAUAUGGAUAAGGAUUUAGAUAUCCACAUGGACAUAAACAAUCUAAAUUCGAUAAAAUAUGGUAUCGACUUAUUCCAUAGAUGUGGACUAUCCAGUAAUUAAAAGUAGUUUGUUUGAGUCUUACAAUAGAAUUAUCUGACAACUUAAAGCCCAUGAUGUUUAGAAAAACUAAAAAGGUAAAGUGAAAUUUGCGGUUGUUGUCAACCAUGCUAUUUGUUAUCGGCUUUAGCACUUAACUCUUUUAGGCCACUUAAUUUGUGUUCAUUGAUAUAGGUUAUGUAUAGACACAUAGUAAAAAUUAUGUAUUUGGAAAUAUCAAAACACCUUAUAAUUUAAAAUAAAAGGAGUAUCAUGUGAAUUUUAUUUGCCAGAUUACAUAGAUCAUUAUUUAAAAAGGAUCAAUGAAUGUGAUUAAUUUGUGUUCAUUGACGUGUUAUGACUUUUUGUUCUGCUUUCAUGAUUUAUUAAUUACUAGACUUUAUGCGCAUAAACAUAUAUUAUUGACCUAUUUAAGUUUGAAACUAUUUCACUGCUCCAACUCCAUACCAUUUCCAACAUUAAAAAACUAUGUUCACACAUGCAUCUCACGCAUAAAUGGAAAAUAGCAUAUGAAGAAACCAUUAUUCAUUCCAUUCCAAUCCACUUCCAUCCCUAGUAUUAUACUUAGUCAGUGGCGGAUCCAGGAUUGAUAUAAGACAGGGGCUACUAAGCUAAUGUUAUAAAAAAAUUUAAACCAAAUAAAAAGAUCUAAUUGAUUUUUAAUAUGACACAAGAAGCAAAAUAAUUUUAUCAAAUCAAACUAUAAAUACCUAGCAGGCUAGCACAAGGUUGACGAUUCAAAGCAAAACAAACAGGAGCAGGCAGUAGCACACGGUUGUUUUCACCAAAUCACCUUCACUGGUUCAGAGAGUCUGGCUGGCGUUAGGUUCAGCAACAGGCAGCAGCGUCCAGCCGCCCAACUGCAUCGUGUAUUCAGCGCUCAGCCGUCCAGCAAAUCUGCAAAAGCAAAACAGAUUCAGUCACCGAUUAGAGCAGCAAGCAGGAGCUGGGUCUGGCGGGGGGCCGAGGGCGAGCUGCUGACGGACGGGAGGACGAACACGGGCCGGUGCGACGGUGCCGACGUGCUGCCGUGGGCUCGUGUCGCGCCUCGCGACCACGCGACGAAGAGGCGGAGAGACGUGUCGCGCCAGCGAGGCCGCGAUAGCGUGUUCGUGAUAGAGCGCCGCCGCGCCAGCCGCCGGGUGCCAUUGCCGACGAUGGACGGCGCUAGUCAUCGAGGUGUCGCAGUGGGCAGGGGUCCGAGCGAUGGCUAGACCAUAGCCGCGAUCGGGAGAGGCUAGGAGCGGCGAGCAGGUGAUGUCGUGAUGGAGCUAAGCCGCUUGAGCGUGACCUAUUUUUCCUGGACUUCGUGGGCCUAUUCGCUAGAACUACUGGGCCGCGACCGGGGCUACAGCCCGGGCAGCCCAGGACGUGGAUCCGCCCCUGUACUUAGUUGUUGAUGUGGAUUACAAUGAACAUAUUGGUAUGAGCUAAAUCACUAGCUAUAGGUAUGAACGAUAGUAUAAGAAGUGACAUACUACUAGGGGUAGUAGGAGGGCCAUAAAUAAAUGUUAGUUUAAAAAUAAAUAGAAAUAUGAUCUAAUCCUAUUUCGAUCUGAUUUUUAAAUCUAAUAAUAUAAAAUUUAGAGUCUAUUGUCACUCAUACAUACGAUAUUGGGGGAUGAGGAAGAAAGGUGUGGUGGGGAAUUAGAAAUUUUUCUUAGCUCUGGUAACGUGUUGAAGUGACACAGAACAAGUUCCUAUAGAUGUACUCAAUCACUCGUGUAUAUAUAAAUGCACAAGAAAAUAAUUUGCAUGGCGGGAACAAGCGCUGCCAACGAAAUCAUAAGCCUUUAUAUGAUAAGUAACAACACUACCAAUAUUCGAGAGUGUGGCCCUUUCGUAUUAUAUAUGUAUAGUAUUUUAUUUUUAACAUAUUUUUUAUUAUUAAUAUAUAUAAUCUCCAGUCUUUAAUGGAGAUUCUUAUGGCAUCAGAGGCCUAGUAUCUCGAUCUGUAGUGAUAUAUAUGCUGCAUACUAAGGUCAUUGGUGGUACGGUGCACGGAUUCAUGUUGCCACGCUCUGAUCACUCUUGCUAUACCAGGGACGCUACAACAGCUCGGUACACUACGCGGUUUCAGCCGCCCCCGCAAACAUCGGUCAGACGGUCACAUUAGUGAAGUUACAUUACAGACUACUCGUUAUGGUUCGUCAACUUAUUCGACUCGUAAUUAGUUCGACUUAGUUUAUUUUAUUUUAUUUAUGAGAUGAGCUAACAUCUCAAAUCGGGUUGUUAAAAAUACAGCUCGAGUAAAACUUGAGCCAACUCAUGUACUCAAAUAAACUAACAUUUGUUAGUAGAGAUGUUCAGAGAGAAAAUGUUCCGAAGAAGGACAAGAAGUAGGUACUAUUAGCCAUAUUAGUGGCUACUUUAUUUUUUUGGGGACUCUAGUGUUUAAAAUUCCCUAUAUUAAGCUCCUUUGUGUUGCAUGCCAUUUAUGUAUAAACUGAUGAACAUGUUACAUGUAUGUGGAUAUAGUCUGCGAAUUAAAUUGAUGAUUAAUAAUAUGUGUGUUAAUUGAUUUGUAUAACUAUAUUUAUAUGUUAAACUGAUGAACAUAUAUAUUGUGUAAGUACUUGUGUUGAAUGAACUUGAUGAAUUAUGUUAAUUUGGUGUUGGAUUAACUUGACUUGUGAAAAUAUGAACAUUAUUACACUUUAUAUUGUGAAAAUAGUUUAGAAUUUAAAAGCAAAUGAUUGCAUCGUCCUAAAAUAUCUCAAGGAAUGGCUUAAAGAGAUCACAAAUAACUUUUAUUGAAUCAUUUUCAUGUGGAUAAUCAUCACCGAGCCGGUUACCUAGUUCGUUCGAUAUCAAGCCGUAACUACUACACAAAACACAAGUUACACAACCCCGGCUCCCGCUGGCGCACACGCUCCUCACGUGCCGCACCCGAAACGUCCCAAGAAAAAAGGGAGAAAACUCACCGAAAAGUCUACCCACCUGGGCCCUGGCCACCUCCCCCCUGCUCGCUCACGACCCCCAACACGCGAGUACGCGACGACGCCCCUCACAAAAACAGGGGCCAAAAAGGAUAAAAAAAAGUGGGGAAAAGAACGCCGGGAAUGGGCAAGCAGCAGCAGGCGCCACCGGCGCGGCGGUCCCCGGCGAUGUCGGCGCCUCCGCCGCCGAAGCGCCGGAAGAAGAAGGGCCGCCCGUCCCUGCUCGACCUCCAGAAGCGGAGCCUCCGCCUCGAGCAGCAGCAGCUACCCCAGGGGCGCCGCUCCAACCGCAGGAGCGCCGGCUCCGCGGACGAGGACGACGAUGGGCCCGCCUCCGGCUCCGGCCGCCGCGAGAAGAAGCUGCGCCUCGUCAUGGGCCUCCACGACGGAUCAGCCAAGGUGGGCGCCCCUCUCCCCACUCCCUCGAUCUGAGCCGAUUCCGACCCAAUUCUGUCGAUCCCGGGCGGAAUUUGCCUAAUUUGGGCGCCCUGGCCUGGGUCGGCGUACGGAUCUGCGCAGCCGCACGCCGCCCGAGGAAAUUUCAUUGCUAUUUUUGGUAUGAAAAGGGCGCGUUUAUUUAUUUAUCUCCGUAGUAAGGGCCUCAGUGGUCAACUCCGCUCCGCUCUGCACAGUCUGGGUGAUAUAUAAUCCUAAACCCUCGCGUAGUAUCUUCGGCCUGUGGUGGCAAUAAUUGGACAAUUUUUUUUUAAAACGCCGCGUCUCCGAGCUAAGGCGUCCGCUUUUCGGGUUUGGUUUUUGUCAGGUUCUCGCGCCAAAAUUCCGCUGCAUUUCGCGCUCUCCUUAGAUCUCUGUACUUGGUAACUGGGCCUGGUAAACGAAAGCUUACCCCGCCUUUUCUGCUGCUUUUUUUCUACUCCGGGGAGGUUUCCGAUGCUUGUAAAUAUUUUUAAUUUCUAUAUGUUCUGUUUUUAAAUUUCUUUUUUUAUCUUAACCGCUGCUGCCGCAGGGAGAAAAGAUGAGGAAAGCGACGGAUGGGCGUGAAGGUUGGUGCUCCUUGGUCUGUGGCAUUUACUCUUCAGAUUUCCACAGGGGAAAAAAUAUACCUGGAUAAAUGUGCACGAAGAUGCCAUUUUUAAUUCUGUUACUGUUGGAGGCAUUCCAAUUUUCUCAUCUUUAAUCACUGCUCGUGCCUCUGUUUGCCCUGUGCUUAUGGAUUGGAUUUGUUCAUUCGACAGAGCCGUCAGAUUCCGGGCCCACAACACCUUUACCGAACAAAAAGUUGUUGCUCUUCAUCCUCGACAGGCUACAGAAGUGAGUUGCUGUGCUCGUUGCUUGUUCUUCCUUCAGCUUCUCAUUCUCAGCUCCAGGACUUCUGAUCUUUGUGUGUCCUGGUUUCUUGCAGGAAGGAUACGUAUGGUGUAUUUUCAGAGCCUGUUGAUCCUGAAGAGGUUUGUUUGCUUUAGAAAUGACGACGCUACAUGUUUGUUUUCUUUGGUUUGAUUAUCAAAACCACUGAUUUACCUGUUCAUGUCCAAUUAUUGCCAGCUACCUGACUAUCAUGACAUUAUAAAGCAUCCAAUGGAUUUUUCGACAAUAAGAAAGAAGCUCGAUAAGGAGGCCUAUUUCAACUUGGAGCAAUUUGAGGUGAGUUAGAGGAUUUGUUUAGAUUGAUAUUUUUAUUGGAUUUUCCUUCAAUCAGCCAGCAAAUUCUGUCUGUUUGCUUGGUAAUAGCCUGUAAUAAGCUGGUGUGCUUUAUUCAAAGAUUGGUUAGAAACUGUUUGUACCGUUUGGCUUUGGGGCCUCUUGCUUUACGCUUGUAUCCUGAUUGGCUUUGGGAGCAGAUGUUUACUCUCGUCGACAUCUGGGUUUUCCUGUUUAGUAUUGUUUCUGAUGGCAUUCCAUUGUACUGAAUCUCCAGACCUGAUUUUUAUAGGCAAUAUAAUCACUUUCAAGGUUGGCAGAACAUAUAUUUUUGUCAUGUAAAUUCCCUUAACAAUUAAUUUAGAAUGUACAUUUUAGAUCAAGUUUAGUCUGGUAAUAUUCUUGUUUGAGUGAAGCACUUACGCCUAGGAUCUAUCUUAUUCGUUCCAUAACAGCACUUUUACCAGCAAAAAGUUUGUCCAACAGACCAACACUAUCUUUGCAUUCGAUGACCUAUCCAAGAUUGUUUCUACUGAGUUGCUCUACUUAGGCAUGUAAACCCAGUAACUUAAAGGGAACACCUGUUUCUUGUUCGAGAUUCUCCGUUGUUUUUCGACAGUUCAAGCACUGAGAUUAACAUCUGAUAUAGACUGAGACAGAACUGUGCUAGGUUAGCAGACAACCUAUUAACUUCCUGUUUGCCUUUUGCGAUUGUGUUAUGGACCCUAACUUUUCACGGGCAUGAUUUCUCUGAUUUUUGCUUUUCAACUAUCUGGAUGAGUUUAGAUUAUAUAAUACCUAUAUAGUUAUAUAUUUAUUCUGCUGAUGUGCCAAGAAAAAACUCAGGCAUCCCAUGUCAUGUUUGAUGCAAUAUAAGAUUGCAAACUUAACAGCAUGAUCGAUGCAGAAGAUUUUACACAUUAGAAACUUGCUAAGAGAACACUUAUAUAUGCCAUUUGGCCUCGUAGCUGGGAUAUCAAUGUUCUCUUGCAAGUUUACACACUAGAAACUUGCUAAGAGAACACUAAUAUAUGGUUCCAUACAUACAACUAGGCAGGAAAGUGCAGUAUUCUGUUUGAAAAUAUAUGAGCACAAGAAGUGCACAUUAUACAAUGUAAUGUUGACAGUAAUUUUUUUAUUAUGGUAAAGAUGAUCAGCACGCUGUUAGAAAAUAUAAAAUGGCCUUAUCUCGUUAGGCGAGAUGCCUUGAUUCAUUUUUAGAAGUUCAUGACAAGAUGGGUAUGGGCUCGGACACCAUAUAUUGUGUUAAGUUCAAAUGCCACCUAGGGAUUUAAAGUUCUAGAUGUGCAAAAAGUUAUACAAGCACUAUGCUUCCUGCUGCCUAUGAUAGGAUGCUUUCAAUUGAGAAAGCUCAUUAUUUGAAUAAAGGAACACUCUAAAUAGCAUACGUUCUUCCCUUUUUGCAAGUAAUUCAUGCUCAGAAAAAAAAUCAAGAGCCCAUGUGCCUUGUUUAUGCCAGUUCAUGUUGGCAAAUCGUAUUCAAGCUGUACCUCAGUUGCUAAUUCAUUAGGCAUUAUGAAGUGUGUUGGACCUCAGUUCGAAUUAUGUGUUACUUGAAAGAGGAGGCAUGCAUUUGGUAAAAUGCUAUGAUUUCAAACUUUGUAAUGUCUGAACAGGACACUAUGCUUUAGGUUACCAUUUUGCAGCUUUUAGCUAAUGGAUUUAGUUAUAAUGCUGACUUGCGCGAAAGGGCCUCUAGCUGAGUUGGUUAGGUGGUCUAAGUAGCACAUUCAGGUCCUGGGUUUGACUCCCCGUGGGAGAGAAUUUUAGGCUGUGGUUAAAAAAAAUUCCCUCGUCUAUCCCACGCCAAAGCACAGGUCUAAGGCUCAGCCCCGGUCGCGGUCGUUCUCACAUGGGCUUCGAUGCCGCUGUGUAUGGGUGGGGCAGGGGUUCGGGGGUUUUCUCGACCUAUAUGAGAAGGUCUUCUUAAUACAAUACUCGGGGGCUGUCUUACCUCCUGCAGGUCGAGUUUUUUUUUUAUAAUGCUGACUUGCUACUUGAUAAGUAUCCAAUGUGUAUAUACUGCUGUAACGUCAUGGAUUUUCUAACCUGUAAUUUCGCCACCCAUUUGACUGUUGCAUGGAACAUCAUUAAAGCAAGCCACUUUUAUCCCAUAAUCUUCUGUGCUCAGACAUCUUUGCUGGUCAUCUCUGAAGAAUGAAGUUGGUAAUCAGUGCACAUUUGAGUACUGGUGUGUCACUGUUUAACCAAAUGUGCAUACUGCAUCAUGUGUAUUAUCAGUGCUUGUUGAAAGCAUAACGGCUUAUUCCCGCAGUCAUGCUAGAAGAAUGCCACAUUUCUGGAACGAAUAUGAAUAUUUGGUAUUGUUUUUAUCAUUCCUGCAGUUCUGCUGCAAAGUACUAUUUCUUUCCUGGCCUCAGAAUGCUACUGAUGUUUUAUCAAGCUCAUUCAACUUGACUGAAACUUCAAUUUACAGGAUGAUGUGUUCCUGAUAACCUCCAACGCGAUGUGUUACAAUUCACCAGAUACAAUAUACUAUCGACAGGUCAAACAUUAAGCUUACAUGUUAUGAUCUUUGAAUGUAAUUAUGAAGUAUGGUGCAUUUAACAUCCAUAUGCUAUGCAUAACAGGCACGAGGUAUUCAAGAGAUUGCUAAAAAGGAUUUUGAGAAUCUUAGGCAAGAUAGUGAUGCCAGUGAACCAGAACCGGAACCAGAACGAGAACCCAAGCCGGAGCCCGAACCAGAAGAACCAAAGCCACAGCCUCGCCGGGGCAGGCCUCCAAACAAGAAUAAUGCCAAACAGAAAGUUGGGAAGCCACCAGCAGAACGUGCCACUGCAGACUUUUCUGGUGCAACACUUGCUACUGCGGCAAAUAUUGGACGGCAUGCACAGGCAGAUGUUGAUCUGUCACGAAGAGUAAUGGAUAAAGCGAUGAUUGCGGAUGUGUUGAGAGCUUCUUUUGCCAACCUAAGGAAUGAGCACAACUGGUCUGGUGAGCGGAAGUUUGAAAGACUUGAAGCUUACUCAGGUUUUAGCUUAUCUUUUUUUUCUUGUUCUUUCAAAAGGUGUCUUUUGAAGGGUAAACAUUUAAUGAGUACUAACUGAACAAAAGGACUAGGCAUCCAAUCUGGCUAACUCAAAUUUCUUUUAACCUUCGUUGUGGUCGCUCUCUUUUUCUAGGUUAUGGGGGUACAUGGUCUGCAAAAACGGGGAAGAGGCCGAUUCUGAUGGAAGAUAGUCGCCGGAGCACAUAUUAUGAGACUCAACCAUCCAGUUCAAUAUAUGAGCUGCCGGUAUCGUCCUCCUACAAUGGGACCGAGAAGCUGCUAGUACCAGUUGAGUGUCCAAUCCAAAAUGUCCUAUAAGUAACUGACGAUUUACUAAUAUAAUUUCAGUCUCCUAUUAACAUUAGAGAACAGAAAGACACGAUCCUCCACACUUUAACACAAUAUAUGUAUAUUUUUUUAUCAGGUUGGGGUUCAGUUACCGCAGUCCUAUUCCCACAGCCUGGCACGUUUUGCUGCACAACUUGGCCCUGUUGGCUGGGAAAUUGCGUCAAGACGACUUGAACGGAGCCUUGCUCCUGGAACAAAGUUUGGUCGUGGCUGGGUAGGAGAUGGUGAAACGCCGCCGAACCCAUUUCAGACACCUGUACUCGCUGCAUUUUCAGAAACAAUGGCACCACCGAGCAGUAUAGCAGCAUCAGGUGAGCAGCCAUCUAUGAACGCGCCCCCCGCCACAGAGGCCUGUGCUGGCAGCAUAAGCCAUCGGGUGGGAUCUCAGCCAUGUGCUUCUAUCAGCACAGUGCAGACGAUAAAUUCCGAAGCAUUAGCAAGCCAGCAAUGCGGAUCCGUACCACAGGUUUCUAUAAACCGAGGCGAACGUGCUGUUGAGAUGAAGGGCAGCACUAAUAAUCUUCACGGGCACCCGGCCAUGCCGCAAACUAUGAAUGGUUUCAAUGCCGUUCCAGGUGCUAAACCAGACUAUAUCUUAACUACACUUGUGUGCUUAAUGUUCCAUUAAUCUCAUGCCCACUUUAGUCCAAAGUUCAUGACCCUUCAAAGGUUUCUGCCUUUUUCAGGACGGGUGCUGUUCCCACCUGCGGCUCAACUGGUGGUGAGUCAGAUGCAGACACAUACGGCUGAUUGAGUAACAAGUAGCCAUUGGAUCAACAUUGUCAACAUGGCAAUUGAACAUUGCCCGCUUCCAUUCAUCAGUCGCGGUCACCAAGCGACGACGGCCUUAAGCCGCACCCUGCCAGUGGCUUGGCGCCCACCACAUUGGGGGUGUCUGGUCGCUGUUGAAUCGUCGCGCCUCAACCUGGCGCUGCAACUGUGAAUCUGUUGUGUAAUUGCGUAAGUAGGAAUUAGGAUGAUAACGUGCAUAGAUGUGUUGGGCGGAUGGUGUAACAGCGGUGAGUUGCAGUUUGGAGAUUUAGCGAUUCUGAAUGUGUAGUAGAAAAACCACAGGGGAAACGAAACAACAUCUGUAUAGACUAUUCAGGAUCAGGAGGUUUUUUUAGCGUUUCGGCGACUAGCAACAGGUGCGAUCGAGCAUGAAAUCGUGCGAACCAGAUUGUCUGUUGCCGGUAUUGUUUCUAUAUACAUCAAUCUGACGGUGUUCUGGGUUGCAGGUACCACAGUCCACAGUGUAGGUAAGAAGUAGAAUCAUGCGGCAACAACAUGAAUGCCCUGUUCCAAUCUCGCGAGAUAAACUUUAGCAGCUUUUUUAGUUACUUUUAGUCACUUGUAAUCUAAACAGGAAAGCUAAUGGUGGUAAUUGAAGCUAAACUUUAGCACUUCAAUUCAUAUAGCUAAAAUUUAGCAGAAAGCUAAAGUUUAUCCCGUGAAAUUGAAACGGGGCCGAAGUAGAAUCCGCCUCAUCCUAAGAGUCCUUGUAGGAUCCUCAUCCUCACUUCUGUACCUUAAGGCGAGGAGUUGAAUAAUGAAUAUCCUAUAAAAAUUGUGCACAACUUACAGUUAUAACUAGAGUCAAGAUAUUUAUAUAUGCGGAAGCAAUUACUUUCUCUAGUUUUUCUCUCGACUAUCUCUCUGAACAAAACAAACAAGGAAGCAAUUACUUUCUCUAGUUUUCUCUCUCGACUAUCUCUCUGAACAAAACAAACUAGUAGCUUGUGAAAGAUAUGUAUAAAUGCGACAAACUAUUUUCUAAAUAAGAGAAGAAUUAAACUAAAGUUACUCUAGUUUUUUCUCUCGACUAUCUCUCUGAACAAAACAAACUAGUAGCUUGUGAAAGAUAUGUAUAAAUGCGACAAACUAUUUUCUAAAUAAGAGAAGAAUUAAACUAAAGUUACAUAACAAAUAGAUGAACAAGUAACAAGUAAAGAUGAUUGCAAGAAUUGUUUGGAGUGCAAACCAUAAGAAACAAGAGAUGAUAUAAUAUUUAUCCCUAAGGUUCAAUUGCUUGCGAGCAACCUACGUCCUAGUUGUGGCAAGUCUAAAUUGGAUGAUCCACGAGCUAAUUGGCGUAACGCACAAGCCCAUAAAGGGCAUCAUAAGACACACUAGGGAGAUAUUCCAACAAGACACUAUUUCACUAUACUAGUCAGAUGCCCGUGCAUUGCUAUAGUUCUAUAUAUCACACAGUUAGACUUUGUUUCAAUAAAACAUAAAAAUAUAUGUGUUUGGUUGGUUAGGUGGGUGUGAAAGUGGAGGCAACAACCAAGGUUCAACUACCCAUGGUCUUAAGAACUGUGAAAAUUGGUGUUUUAUAUAGUAGAACUAGUAGAUAUUGUAGUUGCUCUUCACGAAUCUAUGAGGGAAAUGAGCACAAGAGCCUACUCAAUGAACCCAACAAUCUCCAAGCGAUCUAGGAUGACAAUCACCAAGAGUAACAAUAGUAGAACCAUCCCAACCUAUUCUACCAGUAUCACAAGAUGCAUGAACACUAUGCAAUGCACUAGGAGAGCUCCAACCUCACCCAAAUGAUGAACUAUGUGUUUCAAGGGGGUGGAGUGUGUUUCUUAAUACUCAAGAUAGAGAUGUCAAUGGGGACCCGAUACCCGAUAACCCAUGGGGAAUUCCCCUAUUAGGGUAUUGGUAUGGGACAAAAAUUAUCCCCAUGGGUAUGGAUAUGGGACAAAAUCUCCACCCAUUGGGUAAACGGGUAUGGGUUUGGGAAGCAAUAAUCCGAACCCGAUUACCCAUGGGUAUUUCAUACGCGUACACCUGUCCUGUUUGUAUGAAUGAGUUGAGGCUGAGUUGGCCAUCAAACCCGGCAGACUCCAUUUCUUAUAUUGGUCCCAAGUACUGAUUUCUUUUCUGAUGGAUGGAUGAAUGGAUAAUGGUUCAUGGAUGAGUGCUUGCCAAUGUGGUGAUAUAUGAAAUCUGGAUAGUUUGUGCUAGAUGUUAGUACCUAGUUAUUCCUUAAUUGGGGAUGUGGAUCCAUUGGGGACCCGAAACCCGAAUGGGGAUGGGUAUGGGAUGAGUUUUGUACCCAUGAUGGGUACGGGUAUGGGUAUGGGGAUGUAUCAAACAUGAUGGGGAUGGGUCUGGGAUGCUAUAACCCGAUGGGGAAUUACCCAUUGACAUCUCUAACUCAAGAUGUGUAUGCAAGUGUUGGAGGUCAUGGGAUACUAGCCAAGGCCAGUUAAGGGGUGUAUUUAUAGCCCCUCAAAAAAAUCUAACCAUUACAUAUAAAAAUACUGAAAUCAGGGGUACCAGACAUGUCAGGAGCUUAUCAAGGUGUUGCACCAGACACGUCAGUGCCCUUCUAACGGCUAUACACUACUCCCUCCGGUGUACUAUUAGUUGUCAUUUAGGACAAUGGCACGGUCUUCAAAAUAUAACUUUGACCAAUGUUUUUUUGUUAAAAUACAACUAACCUUUUAAUACAUUUAUACUUUUAUAAACGUACUUGUUAAGACAAAUUGGUGCAUAUAAACAUUAUGUUUCAAAACUACAUAAUGAAAUAAUUAUUUGUAGUCAAAAUUUUAUAAGUUUGACUAAACAUUUUCCAAGAUGACAACUAAUAGUACACCAGAGGGAGUAGUCAUUAAUCCUAUCAGACAUCUAAUGAGUUAUAGGCUAAAUUGUGAGUUUUACAAGCUCUCUGAGUGUCCUGCCCAGUGUGGUACCCGGUGCUACACCAGACAUAUCCAAUGAGUUAUAGAGCUAUUAUGCUUGGUUAAAUGCUCACUAAGUUACUAGUCUGGUGGGGCAACCGGUGCCUCACCAAACACUAUGGUGCCAAACCAAAAGUUGUGUACUAAAUCUAUGCCAUUCUCUUAUUUGGUGUCGUGUUCGGUACCUCACUAGACAAGUACGAUGUUCUCUAAAAAUCUGCACUUAGUAUGUUUUCUUCUCUAUUUUCAAGCGAGCUAACUCUUAAAUGUUUUUUGUCAAACAUGUUAGAGACUAGUUAUAUUUUCCAAAGUGUUUUCAAUAAACCUUUUCACUUGCUCACACUUGUGUCACUUAGUCCUAUAUGCAAUGCAUAUAAAUCCAAACUUGGUGGGUACUAGACGAUUGAUUUGUCCAAUUAAAUUUCUCUCUUAAUAGUAUGACCAUCUAUCUAAAAUCCGAUCACACACUCUAUUGUGUCUUGUCCAGUAAAACAAAAUGAAUUAGCUUAUAAAUUUGUCUUGAGCUCUUGUAUUUUGAUUUUCUCCUCCCUCUUUCCAUGUUGACUAUUUGUUAAUCUUUGUGGACAUCACCAUCCUUCUUAUGGUUUCCCACCUUGCUCGACCUUUAGACUUUAACCUAUCUCAUUCACAACACUUAGAGUAGAUAUUACUACACUAGUUUCUCAAUUACGAAAACCAUAUUUGGAGCUUUCACCAUGAAGCAUGGUGACGGCGCGUCGAAGAGAUAAGGCUUGUUGAUGGUGAUGCUUUUGAGUGCUUUCUUAUUUGUGCUCUUUAUUUUACCAUCUUCACUAUCACUUGAUGAAGCAUCGAAAUCCCACUCAAUACAAUAAGUAUGGCCCUUCUUGAAAGUCAUUGAUUUGCCUUCUUUACCUUUGCUUUUUUUUUCUUUCUUUUCACCAUCAUUAUUAUUGUGAGGAAAUUUAGCUAUUAGAUUAUCAUUCAUACUACACGUAUAACAUCUCCUUUGUUACUGUGUUUUGGAUGAUGACCUCCUCCUUCUCCUUCUUGCACCAUAUCCCUUCUUCAUGAAUUUCCCGAAGUAGUCCAUUUCCUCACCAUCUUCAUUGCUUGAGCUUGUGCACUCAUCACCAGUAGAUUCAUCAUUGUUUUUCCUUCCCUUACUAUUGGAUUAUGUGGUGACUUUGAAUGCCACAAUCUCCUUCUCAUCUUCUUGAUCAACCCCAUCCCUUUCCACAUGGUAUGUGUCUUGUGUCAUCACAUCACAUAGUAUUUGGGUAAGAGUGUUAUUUUUUAAUCUGCCUCUCAUAAUAAUUGUUACCAAUGUGUCAAACCUUGGUGAGAGGCACCUCAAGAACCGAUGAAAGAAGUCCUCAUCACUCACUUUGUUACCCAAGUUUCUUAGCUCAUUUAUUAUGACAUUGAGUCUAUGAAACAUUUUUCAAGAUGCUUUCUCCUUGAAUUUUGAACCUUUCCAACUUAUAUUUGAGGAUGUAAAAUUUUGCUUCAUUGAACGUCGGUGUUCCAUCAUAUGAAUAUUCCAAUCUCUUCCACACCUUAUAUGCGAAAUCAAGGUCCUUUACUUGCUCAAACACCUUUAGAUCAAUUGCAUCAUAGAACACAUUGAGAGAAUAUAAUUGAAUUGUAAAUUUUUCCCCUUCUCUAGGAGUUGGUUUAUUCGUAUCUAGUAUGACGAAUUAUUUCUUCACUACAUUCCAAACUCUUGUUAAUUGAUCUCAAAUGUGCACAUAUCUUCCUUUUUCAUAAUUAAUUUGUUCCAUCAAAUGAGGUGGCUUAUUAUAUUAUUGAUUUAUGCCAUCAUAUGAAUCCUUAAUAUAAUGAUGAUCGCGACUUCGAUACCACUUGAUAGGAUCUAGAUGGAUACGAUACAAGAACUAUCUGCAAUGUACUAGGAGUUCUCCAAUCUCAUCUAAAUGGUUAUUUAAAGGAUGCAAGAGAGUAGAGUGUGUUUCAUAGCUCUCAAGAGGUGUACACAAGUAAAUGAGGUUAUGAGAAGUUUCUAAGGACAACUGUGGUAGUUGUCUAAAAAUCUAUCGGCGCAAACUCUUGAAAUAUAAUGUGUGUUUGUGAAUAUAGGUAUGUAUUUGUCAUUUUCUCUAUUUUAUAAAGCAUUACUUUUCACAGUUUCCACCUUCAUCACGCCCCCUACAUUUAAAUAGUAGAAAAUCUAAAAUUAUAUACAAUUAAGGAUUCAAACCAUGAUUGUUGGCUCUAAGCCCGUAUUCACAUCCACCUAACCAACAAAAUAUACAUACAUUUGUGUUUUAUAUUUCAUACUCAAACAUAAAUAGAAAUCAUAGCAACGUACAUACACUUUGCUAGUGUUUUUAAAUAAACUGAAAAAACUUUAGGUCAUGUUUGUUUUCUUUUAGAAUUAUAUAAUACAACUUAUGGAUUAUGUAAACACCUAAUGACCUAAUUAUAGAUUAUUAUAAUCUAGAUAUCUAGAUUAUAUAAGCAAUCUAAUAAUUUAUGAUGUUUAUUUAUCUUUUAACUUAUUUAAGUUGGAUUAUAUAAUUUAGAGGUUAAAUACUUCGUUUACAAUGGACCGAAUUAUCUACCAAGUAGAGAGAAAAAUUCAAAAGAGAGAGAAAAGCAACCUAUGGUUCACCGCUCCCCUAUUUGACAGCUCGCGAGUCGAGUCAGCCGGCCGACGACAGGGAGCCUCGCCUCCGGCGCCGCGGCGGCGAUCACCCAAUUCCACCCCCACUGCCUUCUCCUAUCUCCCCACACUACCGCUCUGUUUCCUCCACCAUCCGCUUGCGUCCACGCGCUCUCUCGUUAAGCCAUCGCUUGCGUCAACGGCCGCGCCCUCUAGUCGUUCGACGAAACGCCACCGAGCCACUGACGCGUCCGCUGCACGCGUAGUCGCGCUUCCAUCUUGCUCCGCCGCCCCGCAGCUCCUAGCCGGAGGGAGGCCACCGAUCCAUGUCUGUCGCCAAGCGCUACGUGCUGCGCCUCUUCAUCUCGCUCAAGUACGUGACGGCGAACGUGGUGGACCGGCAGAGCGGUCGCAUCGUGACGACCGCCUCGACCGCGGAGCGGCCCCUGCGAGACGGGCUGGAGUGCGGCCGCGCCUGCAACGCAAAGGCGGCGGCAGCCGUCGGCGAGGUGCUCGCCAUGCGCCUCAAGGUGGACGGCCUCGCGCGGGAGCCCAUAUACGCCAACGCGGAGAAAGAGGUCGCGAAGAAAGGGUUCAAGAACCAGACCAAGGUCUGGGCCAUCCUCAAUGCGUUGCGCAGUCACGGGGUCAACCUCCACAUCGACGACGAUGGCGACCACAGGCCGCACGUCUGAAACAACCAUAAGUUCAGGAGUUUGCUCCUCCAACUAACAAAAGUAUGAGCUUUGAGCAUGUUGAUUGUUGCGUGCUGUUUUAUGUUGCUUCAGUAACCUUGCCCUUGACUCUCAUUUAAUUGAACACUAUGACUUUCUGUGUGUAGCAAUAUCACUGCUGGAUCUACUACUUCGAUAUCAUAUAAGUCAUGUAUAACCCUAAGACCAUGAAUCGAUUUUCAAAGUAUAAUAUGAUACAACUCUAAGCUCUUAGAUCAUAAGUAUAGUUAAGAGACAAUAUAUAUAGAGAAUCGUGUAGAGACAGGUUAUUGGCGAAGAGCUCAUCUUUUUGUAUUUUUUUCAAAUAGUCCCAUAGAGACUCCUCAAGGGACUCCAUAAUAAUUGAGAUUGUACAUGCCCUAACAAUUGUCACAAAAAGGAGGAUUGAACCAGUUAUUCACAAAAAAUAUCACGCAGGAUAAUUUCUCUACUGGGAAGGAAAUUGACGCCCCAUGGUGCUUUGGUAAAUUGGUAGUGAAAAGCGGUGCACAUGUUUGAUACAUGCAAAAGACCUAAUGCCUGAUAACUUUUACCUGGUAGCAAAACACAAUUAAAUUACAGAGCACCUUCACAAAACAUGGUGCUACGGCAGUAACUACCAAAUUCCUCACAAAUAGAUUUGCUGGCAUAAUUUUACUGACCAAGUGCCUUUAGGUUCAUGUAUGCUUUGAGCUGAUUCAAAGCACUAUCCAACAAAACCUUCUUACUGCCAUUGAUAACUCUCACUGACUGUUUGAGCUCGCUCUUGGCUGCAAUCAGCUCGUUUUGCAGCCCCUUGAUCUUCAUCUCAUCCCUGAUCUUCUCGAGGCCCCUGAUCUUCUCCUCGAUGACAUGUAGGCUCUCAUGGUCUGGUUGAACUCCUGAUGGUACCAAAGCCCAGGGCAUGUCAUCUUGUAAUGGUGGAGCAGAGGGCGUAGGGUGCCCACCUUGUGAACUGCUUCCGAGAACCAAUAUCAUUUUCUGCAAGCAAGUAGAGGUGUCAGUUUCAGUAUUGGAAAACAUUCUGAAUGAGGAAUCCUGGACUGUUAGACAUAGUUAACUGUUAAGUAUCGAUGUCUGUCAUGCGUCUUAGUCAGGUUUCGACAUGGUGUUGCAGCCUAACACCUUCUACUUCUGAUAAUGUGCUUUGAUUUGUGCCAAAGCACGCUUCUUCUUUUCAGCACACUGUGCACGGCAUCGUCCAAUGGAUAUCAAAGUAAUCAUACUGAAAGAUAUUCAUCUAGAAAAUUGACAUCAUAUUGCCAUUCAUUCUACUCUAUUAGCGUACAGCAAAUACCUGUUUAUGGUCCUCAAUUGGAGCAUCCGGGUACACAAUUUUGACACUUUUCUUCGUCUUCCUCUUCAGCCAGCGGCAAAUCUCUGUUGAGUUCACCUUUCCAACCACCGUGACAAUCCCGCUAUUAACAUCCCCCACCGAAGUUUCAACUCCUGUGAUGUCACAAAGAAAAAUCCUUAUCGUUAUUUGCAGAAUAUAUAUAGCAAGAGAGAAGGGGAAAAAAUAUAGGAGAUGAACAGCCGGUAAAGCUGUACCACCGAAACUUCCAAUGGACACCAUGGCCUUCUCCACCUUCCUGACACAGCCAAUGCAGCGGCAGCGCAUCUCAACCUGGAACCUGAAUCGCCUGGGCGCCUCCUGUGAAUGGAAGAACCAAAUCCAUCUGUCACUCCUGGUGAUGGCGAGAAAAGGAUCUGCAGAGGAAUAAGAAGGCGAAGCCCUCACUGUCCCCAUGGUAGAAUCUUGAGCUGCUUCUGUGACGCUGUUUGCCGGCGGAAGCGAUCAGAGUCUAGAGGCUGGAUGUGGCAAGGCACUCUCGCUUAAAUAGGCCUGACUGGUGCGUAGUUAAUGGGAGGGAGCGGAGUUCCAUGCAGUUUUGUGAAACAGAGGAGCCACCGGAUUGCAUGCUUGAUUGACUGACCUGAUCGUUCAUUCACAGUUUCACACUAGCUGCUGUUUCAUUCAGUCCUUUCCUGUUGCAUUUUUUUUAUCGAGACGAGCACGGCUAAACGUAAUACUAAUACAAUACUCAAAGUCGAAACCCAUUAACCCAAUAGAGAAGGGUGCCAUAGAGAAGAUCGCAAAGGGGAUUUCGUGCAGGGUGGGAGGAAGAAGAUGGGUAGAAAAGUAAAAGGCUAGAAGGCUGCGAGUUUGCCUGAAAAAGAGCAAGAUCUUGCGUAGAGCCAUAUUUAAGGCACGUUUGGUUCGUUACCUCAAUUACCACAGUUAUUCAAUUCGAACGACUAACCUUAGGCAAAAUGUGACACAUUUAGCCACAAACCAAACAUGCCCUUAAAUUUCUCUCUCUCUCUCUCACUGUCCACCAAGCACAAAAAUUGAAGCAUCACACGACCUACAUAAAAAGGUGAGGUCUGCGACAUGGAGGGUGCACGAGACUAACCGCAGAUAUACUUGGGUGAUUACACUCGAGAAUCAUGUCACACGUAGGAGUGUUAAUGGAUCGCCAUAUAAAUGUUUCUUCAUGAUUUGUUAAGGUCAUAAAUUUAUUUUAGUUCAAAAAUGAAUAGAAAUAGAGUUUGAUCCUAAUUUGAUCCGGGCCUUAAAUUUUAUAGUGUAAAAUUUAGAGCCUAUUGUCACCCCUAGUCACACGAGAUAAGACGAUUCUCUUGAGAUUUUGUUUGAGAAUUGCAAGACUUACCAAUUUGCUUCCUCGCUGAGAUAAAUCAUCGUCAAUUAAUAGGGUGUUUGGUUUGAGGAAUAAACUCGUCAAUCAUCUUCUCACUUCUUUCCUUUUUUUGUUUGGUUUGUGAAAUGGAAUGAGUUGAUCUAUCACCACCCCAUUCCUCAUAAUAGUUAGUACUAAUAAUGAAUGUGAUCAUCCCACCAAAUUUGAGAAAUAGACCAAUAAUAUACCAUUUCAAUUUUGAUAGAGUGUCUCCUCAAACCAAACACCCCCUAAAUUUCCUCCAAUGUAAUGACGAGCCUCUCACACCAAGGAUUAUCACCCCUUGUCAAGAGGAAUAGACACAAGAAAUGCCUGACAAUGGUGCUUCGACUUCCGAGCUAGAGUUCAUGAUGACUAACAACGGGCUCACAAUGGUGCAAUAGUAAGUAUCAAAGAUCAAACCCACUAGACAAGAUAAAUCAUGGUAUGAGUUCGCUCUAUUGUGAUGGGUCGCUUCUCCCUAAUUCUUCAACCCCCUUACAUUCGAUCGCCCUAGGGGCUCAACCGCCAUGACCCCCAACUCCUUAGACAAUAAGAUGUGUAGCCUUGGGCCUAGCAUUUUAAGGAUCUGUUCCAUGAGGUGUGUAAAGAAAAUAGACCUCGACCCAUUUGACUAAAUGAUUUUGGUGGUUUGAUGAUCAACGUAAUCUGUGAACUAAUAUGUUUUCUAUGUUUGUAUUUGUAGUUCACAAGAUGCAAAAGUGACUUGGACUAAGACAUUGAGGAAGCAACACCUCAAAAGAAGACAUUAUGAAGACCAUAAGUGAAGAUCAACAAGUAUCAAGCAAAGUCUAAGGCAUGAAGAAAAGUGUAGUCACUCACGGAUCGUCUACCCAUGUGCAGCGGACUGUCUGGUGGCUCACCGGACAGUCCGGUGCCACCCGACGGACUGCCCGGUGCACCAGGGAACAUGAGCCCAAUGGAUAGUUCCUAGUAACACAACACCAGACUGUUCGGUGCAUCACCGGACUGACCAGUGCAAGACUGACGCGCGACAACGGUCACUUGCAACGGUCAUAUCCAACGGCUAUGGGGCACCAGACACAACACCAGACUGUUCGGUGCCUACCACCGGACUGCCCGGUGUGUCGCAGAGCAGCAGCUUUUCUCCAACGACUAUAAUUGAGUUGGGGCCUAUAUAUACUUCACCCAACUGAACAUUUGAAGGUGUGGGAGCCCAAACAACAUAUCAACACAUAUUAUAGAAAUUUUCAAGUGCUCAAACACCCAAGUGCUUAAAGAAUCACUCGGUGAUUAGCGUAGAUGCUUUUUGCGAAGUGCUUAGGUUAGUUGGAUCGCUUAAGCACUUGCUCUAGGUGAAUACUAGUUGAGUGAGUUUAGAAAAACCCACAAAACCCCUUGUCUCUUGUGCGAGCCGUUGUAUAUUGUUCCGAUUGGGGCGAGAGUCUUGCGAGACCGUGACAACCGAGUUUGUCUCACAGCCGCCACCAUGUACCGGAGGGAACGAGGCUCGCAGCGUUUUGACCGGAAGCUCGAUACUGGAGACAGCGGGGAGCGUCCGAGAGGAGCCGAAUGUGGAGCACCACUUGCGUGUGGAAAAGGCCCGUAGCUCUCUACGGAGUUUCUAAACUGUGGUGAUUGGCUCUCGCGUGAGUUAUCCUUUGCGUAGGGCCAACGAGGAUUAGUCGGGACCUUCAUGGUUCUGGAUACCUCGGUAAAAAUACCAUUGUCAUCCACGUGAGUUUGCUUUCUCUACUAGCUCUUUAAUAUUCCACAUUUACUCUCUGUACCUAAGUUGCAAUCUUUACUAUUCUUAGUGUAGAUUAUAUAUGAUUGAAACUUAGGUUGCAUAACUCCUUUUUGCGGUAAUAGCAACACUUAGACAAAACUAGUAUACACAUUAUAGAUUGCUUAUUUGCAUAUGUUUUGUUCUAGUGAUUUAUUUGUGGCCUAGUUUAGAAAGAAGUUUUUAAAAGUCCUAAUUCACCCCCUCUUAAGCGUCACCAUUUCCUACAAGGUGUCUAGUGCCUAGGGCCUUUGUCAACUGCCAUGUCCACCUAUAGGUAGGGGUGGUAAUGGGCUCAAUAUUUUAUACUGCAAAAUUUACGAAUCAAAUUAAGAUCAGGCUCUAUUUCUAUUCAUUUUGAACUAAAAUUCAUUAAGGGCUCAAACAAAUUGUGAAGAAACAUUUGGAUUGUGAUCCAUUACCACCCUACCUGCAUGAUCACUUCACUAGUGGACCCUAGAGCCUUUGUUAGUGCCCAGGGAAGCUCAUACAUUGAUUAUCUGCAAGACUCAUUCAAGGAUCCUAGCUCGAGAGAUUAACUUCAUGGACCAUCGCUCCCUGUGCCCCAAGUCUUGGGAACACCCCCUAGCCUAGGCCAGGGAGGGGCCCAACACUAAAUGACAUAUUAUAGAAGUGUCUAAAAUGAAUGGCAACUAUCAGAAACCUUGGUAGCCUUCUAGGUUGCCUUGACUCUAUGAGGCUUGGGACUCCUAGCGCGUUGGGACCUCUAAGAGCAUCUCCAAGAGAGGCUCUAAACAUGGUCCUAUUUUAAAUAUAGGGCUCAAAAUCAUAAAACAUUCUUCCAACAGCGGCCUUAUUUUAUAAAUUUUCAUCAAAUGGUUAUAGGGCUCGGUCUCUCGGGUCCUAAAUAUAGUACCCAUAUACUGGAGCCCUAUCCUCAUUUCCACUUAAUCUCCAACCAUUUAUUUCCUAAUAUUAUGAUUUAUUUCCUAAAUAGCAUUAUUUAAGGCCUGACUAUUGGAGUAAACAUUUCUUUUGAGACCCUAAACAUUCUAAAUAUGGUCCUAUUUCAAAUUUUAGGACUCUAUUUUAGGGUUUGUUGUUGUAGAUGCUCUAAGGGUAAUAUAUUAUAAGUCCCUAACACAUAUUGUGUCGUGAGAUAUGAAAGGGAAUUAGGCUUACACCUAGUCCCUAAUUAAUUUUGGUGGUUGAAUUGCCCAACACAAAUUUAUUGGACUAACUAGUUUGCCCAAGUGUAUAGAUUAUACAGGUAUAAAAGGUUCACUCUCAGUCAAUUAAAAGACCAAGUUUUGGAUUCAACAAAGGAGCAAAGUGGCAACCGAAGGCCCUCUGGUCUGGGAGCACCGGACUGUCCGGUGUACACCGGACAGUGUCCGGUGCACCAGAGGACUCCAACGCAAACUUGCCACCUUCGGGAAUUUCUAGAGGCAACUCCGCUAUAAUUCACCGGACUGUCCGGUGUCCGGUGCGCCAAGGAAGGUCAGCCUCAGGAACUCGCCAGCUUCGGGAAACUCCAACGGCUAGUCCGCUAAAAUUCACCGGACUGUCCGGUGUGCACCGGACUGUCCGGUGCGACUCCGGAGCAACGGCUAUCUCCGCGCCAACGGCUCUCUGCCGCGCAUUUAAUGCGCGCUCUGCGCGCGCAGAUGUCAGGCGCGCCCAUUCCGGCACACCGGACAAGGAACAGUAGCUGUCCGGUGUGCACCGGACACCCAGGCGGGCCCACAAGACAGAAGCUCCAACGGUCAGAAUCCAACGGCAGUGAUGACGUGGCAGGGGCACCGGACUGUCCGGUGUGCACCGGACUGUCCGGUGCGCCAUCGAACAGACAGCCUCCCAACGGCCACAUUUGGUGGUUGGGGCUAUAAAUACCCCAACCACCCCACCAUUCAUUGCAUCCAAGUUUUCCACUUCUCAACUACUACAAGAGCUCUAGCAUUCAAUUCUAGACACACCAAAGAGAUCAAAUCCUCUCCAAAUUCCACACAACGCCAUAGUGACUAGAGAGAGUGAUUUGCUUGUGUUCUUUCGAGCUCUUGCGCUUGGAUUGCUUUCUUCUUUCUUGAUCCUUUCUUUGCAAUCAAACUCACUUGUAAUUGAGGCAAGAGACACCAAUCUUGUGGUGGUCCUUGCGGGAACUUUGUGUUCCAAGUGAUUGAGAAGAGAAAGCUCACUCGAUCCGUGGAUCGUUUGAGAGAGGGAAGGGUUGAAAGAGACCCGGCCUUUGUGGCGUCCUCAACGGGGAGUAGGUUUGCAAGAACCGAACCUCGGUAAAACAAAUCUCCGUGUCUCACUUGCUUAUUCGCUUGGGUUUUGUUUUGCACUCUCUCUCGCGGACUCGUUUCUCUAUUACUAACGCUAACCACGGCUUGUAGUUGUGUUUAUAUUUGUAAAUUUCAGUUUCGCCCUAUUCACCCCCCCUCUAGGCGACUUUCAAUUGGUAUCGGAGCCCGGUGCUUCAUUAGAGCCUAACCGCUCGAAGUGAUGUCGGGAGAUCACGCCAAAAAAGAGAUGGAGACCGGCGAAAAGCCCACUACAAGCAACGGGAGCACUUCAUCGGAAGAGUCCCGCACCAAACGGAGGGAGAAGAAGAAGAGCUCCUCCAACAAAGGGAAGGAGAAGAAAUCUUCUUCUCACCACAAAGAGAAGAAGGAAAAAUCUUCUUCCCACAAGCCGCAUCGGAGUGGGGACAAACAAAAGAGGAUGAGGAAAGUGGUCUACUACGAGACCGACACUUCAUCAACAUCAACCUCCGGCUCCGACGCGCCCUCCGUAACUUCUAAACGCCAAGAGCGUAAGAAGUUUAGUAAGAUCCCCCUACACUACCCUCGCAUUUCUAAACAUGCACCUUUACUUUCCGUCCCAUUAGGCAAACCACCAACUUUUGAUGGUGAAGAUUAUGCUAGGUGGAGUGAUUUAAUGCGAUUUCAUCUAACCUCACUCCACAAAAGUAUAUGGGAUGUUGUUGAGUUUGGUGCACAGGUACCGUCUGUAGGGGAUAAGGAUUAUGAUGAGGAUGAGGUGGCCCAAAUCGAGCACUUCAACUCUCAAGCGACAACAAUACUCCUCGCCUCACUAAGUAGAGAGGAGUAUAACAAAGUACAAGGGUUGAAGAGUGCCAAGGAGGUUUGGGAUGUACUCAAAACCACGCACGAGGGAGACGAGCUCACCAAGAUCACCAAGCGGGAAACGAUCGAGGGGGAGCUCGGUCGGUUCCGGCUUCGCAAAGGGGAGGAGCCACAACACAUGUACAACCGGCUCAAGACCUUGGUGAACCAAGUGCGCAACCUCGGGAGCAUAAAGUGGGAUGACCAUGAGGUGGUUAAGGUUAUUCUAAGAUCUCUUAUUUUCCUUAACCCCACUCAAGUUCAAUUAAUUCGUGGUAAUCCUAGAUAUACUAAAAUGACCCCCGAGGAAGUUAUCGGGCAUUUUGUAAGUUUUGAGUGCAUGAUCGAAGGCUCGAGAAAGAUCAACGAGCUUGACGAACCCACCACAUCCGAAGCUCAACCCGUCGCAUUCAAGGCGACGGAGGAAAAGAAGGAGGAGGCUACACCAAGUCGACAACCAAUAGACGCCUCCAAGCUCGACAAUGAGGAAAUGGCGCUCGUCAUCAAGAGUUUCCGCCAAAUCCUCAAGCAAAGGAGGGGGAAAGACUACAAGUCCCGCUCCAAGAAGGUUUGCUACAAAUGUGGUAAGCCCGGUCAUUUUAUUGCUAAAUGUCCUAUAUCAAGUGACAGUGAUCGAGGCGACGACAAGAAGGGGAGAAGAAAGGGGAAGAAGAGAUACUACAAGAAGAAGGGCGGCGAUGCCCAUGUUUGUCGGGAGUGGGACUCCGAUGAAAGCUCUAGCGACUCCUCCGACGACGAGGACGCCGCCAACAUCGCCGUCACCAAGGGACUUCUCUUCCCCAACGUCGGCCACAAGUGCCUCAUGGCAAAGGACGGCAAAAAGAAGGUAAAAUCAAGAUCAUCCACUAAAUAUGAAACCUCUAGUGAUGAUAAUGCUAGUGAUGAGGAAGAUAAUUUGCGUACCCUUUUUGCCAACCUUAACAUGGAACAAAAAGAAAAAUUAAAUGAAUUAAUUAGUGCUAUUCAUGAAAAGGAUGACCUUUUGGAUUCACAAGAGGAUUGUCUAAUUAAAGAAAACAAGAAACAUGUUAAGGUUAAAAAUGCUUAUGCUCUAGAAGUAGAAAAAUGUGAAAAAUUAUCUAGUGAGCUAAGCACUUGCCGUAAGAUGAUUGACAACCUUAGGAAUGAAAAUGCUAGUUUAAUGCUAAGGUUGAUUCUCAUGUUUGCAAUGUUUCAAUUCCCAACCCUAGAGAUAAUAAUGAUGAUUUGCUUGCUAGGAUUGAAGAAUUGAACAUUUCUCUUGCUAGUCUUAGAUUAGAAAAUGAAAAUUUGAUUGCUAAGGCUAAAGAUUUUGAUAUUUGCAAAGUUACAAUUUCCGAUCUUAGAGAUAAAAAUGAUAUUCUUCAUGCUAAGAUUGUUGAACUUAAUUCUUGCAAACCCUCUACAUCUAUUGUUGAGCAUGUAUCUAUUUGUACUAGAUGUAGAGAUGUUGAUGUUAAUGCUAUUCAUGAUCAUAUGGCUUUAAUUAAACAACAAAAUGAUCAUAUAGCAAGACUAGAUGCUAAAAUUGUCGAGCACAACUUAGAAAAUGAGAAAUUUAAAUUUGCUCGUAGCAUGCUUUAUAAUGGGAGACGCCCGGGCAUUAAGGAUGGCAUUGGCUUCCAAAGGGGAGACAAUGUCAAAAUUAGUGCCCCUCCUAAGAGAUUGUCCAACUUUGUUAAGGGCAAGGCUCUCAUGCCUCAGGAUAACGAGGGUUACAUUUUAUACCCUGCCGGUUAUCCCGAGAGCAAAAUUAGGAGAAUUCACUCUAGGAAGUCUCACUCUGGCCCCAAUCAUGCUUUUAUGUAUAAGGGUGAGACAUCUAGUUCUAGGCAACCAACCCGUGCUAAGUUGCCUAAGAAAACUCCUACUGCAUCAAAUGAACAUAAUCUUUCAUUUAAAACUUUUGAUGCAUCUUAUGUAUUAACUAACAAAUCCGGCAAGGUAGUUGCCAAAUAUGUUGGGGGCAAGCACAAGGGCUCCAAGACUUGUGUUUGGGUACCCAAAGUUCUUGUGUCUAAUGCCAAAGGACCCAAAACCAUUUGGGUACCUAAAGUCAAGAACUAAACUUAUUUUGUAGGUUUAUGCAUCCGGGGGUUCAAGUUGGAUACUCGACAGCGGGUGCACAAACCACAUGACAGGGGAGAAAAAGAUGUUCUCCUCCUACGAGAAAAACCAAGAUCCCCAAAGAGCGAUCACAUUCGGGGAUGGAAAUCAAGGUUUGGUCAAAGGAUUGGGUAAAAUUGCUAUAUCACCUGACCAUUCCAUUUCUAAUGUUUUUCUUGUAGAUUCUUUAGAUUACAAUUUGCUUUCUGUAUCUCAAUUAUGCAAAAUGGGCUGCAACUGUCUAUUCACUGAUGUAGAUGUCACUGUCUUUAGAAGAAGUGAUGAUUCAAUAGCAUUUAAGGGAGUGUUAGAGGGUCAGCUAUACUUGGUAGAUUUUGAUAGAGCUGAACUCGACACUUGCUUAAUUGCUAAGACUAACAUGGGUUGGCUCUGGCACCGCCGACUAGCUCAUGUUGGGAUAAAGAAUCUUCAUAAGCUUCUAAAGGGAGAACACAUUUUAGGACUAACAAAUGUUCAUUUUGAGAAAGACAGGAUUUGUAGCGCAUGCCAAGCAGGAAAGCAAGUUGGCUCCCAUCAUCCGCAUAAGAACAUAAUGACGACCGACAGGCCACUGGAGCUCCUACACAUGGAUCUAUUCGGUCCGAUCGCUUACAUAAGCAUCGGCGGGAGUAAGUACUGUCUAGUUAUUGUGGAUGAUUAUUCUCGCUUCACUUGGGUAUUCUUUUUGCAGGAAAAAUCUCAAACCCAAGAGACCUUAAAGGGAUUCUUGAGACGGGCUCAAAAUGAGUUCGGCUUAAGAAUCAAGAAAAUUAGAAGCGAUAACGGGACGGAGUUCAAGAAUUCUCAAAUUGAAGGCUUCCUUGAGGAGGAGGGCAUCAAGCAUGAGUUCUCUUCUCCCUACACGCCACAACAAAAUGGUGUAGUGGAGAGGAAGAAUCGAACUCUAUUGGACAUGGCAAGAACCAUGCUUGAUGAGUACAAGACUUCGGAUCGGUUUUGGGCCGAGGCGGUCAACACCGCUUGCUACGCCAUCAACCGGUUAUAUCUUCACCGAAUCCUCAAGAAGACAUCAUAUGAACUCCUAAUCGGUAAAAAGCCCAACAUUUCAUAUUUUAGAGUCUUUGGUAGCAAAUGCUUUAUUCUUGUUAAAAGAGGUAGAAAAUCUAAAUUUGCUCCUAAGACUGUAGAAGGCUUUUUACUAGGAUAUGACUCAAACACAAGGGCAUAUAGAGUCUUUAACAAGUCCACUGGACAAGUUGAAGUUUCUUGUGACGUUGUGUUUGAUGAGACUAACGGCUCUCAAGUAGAGCAAGUUGAUCUUGAUGAGAUAGGUGAAGAACAGGCUCCAUGCAUCGCUCUAAGGAACAUGUCCAUUGGGGAUGUGUGUCCUAAGGAAUCCGAAGAGCCUCCAAAUGCUCAAGAUCAACCGUCCUCCUCCAUGCAAGCAUCUCCACCAACUCAAAAUGAGGAAGAGGCUCAAGUUGAUGAAGAAGAAGAUCAAUCAAAUGAGCCACCUCAAGAUGAUGGCAUAGAUCAAGGGGGAGAUGCAAAUGAUCAAGACAAGGAGGAUGAAGAGCAAAGACCGCCACACCCAAGAAUCCACCAAGCAAUCCAACGAGAUCACCCCGUCGACACCAUCCUCGGCGAUAUUCAUAAGGGGGUAACCACUAGAUCUCGUGUUGCUCAUUUUUGUGAACAUUACUCUUUUGUUUCCUCUAUUGAGCCACACAGGGUAGAGGACGCACUUCAAGAUUCGGAUUGGGUGGUGGCGAUGCAAGAGGAGCUCAA
rnacentral:lncRNA from 1 species